rnacentral:rRNA from 1 species
AACGAACGCUGGCGGCAUGCCUAACACAUGCAAGUCGAACGAGACCUUCGGGUCUAGUGGCGCACGGGUGCGUAACGCGUGGGAAUCUGCCCUUGGGUUCGGGAUAACAGUUGGAAACGACUGCUAAUACCGGAUGAUGACUUCGGUCCAAAGAUUUAUCGCCCAGGGAUGAGCCCGCGUCGGAUUAGCUAGUUGGUGAGGUAAGAGCUCACCAAGGCGACGAUCCGUAGCUGGUCUGAGAGGAUGAUCAGCCACACUGGGACUGAGACACGGCCCAGACUCCUACGGGAGGCAGCAGUGGGGAAUACUGGACAAUGGGCGAAAGCCUGAUCCAGCAAUGCCGCGUGAGUGAUGAAGGCCUUAGGGUUGUAAAGCUCUUUUACCCGGGAUGAUAAUGACAGUACCGGGAGAAUAAGCCCCGGCUAACUCCGUG